UACAGAGGUCUCAAGCGUUGUUCGGAUUCAUUGGGCGUAAAGGGUGUGUAGGUGGCGCGCUAAGUCGGGUGUGAAAUUUCGGAGCUUAACUCCGAAACUGCAUUCGAUACUGGCGUGCUUGAGGACUGGAGAGGAGACUGGAAUUCAUGGUGUAGCAGUGAAAUGCGUAGAGAUCAUGAGGAACACCUGCGGCGAAGGCGGGUUGCUGGGCCGACACUGACGCUGAGGCGCGAAAGCCAGGGGAGCGAACGGG
rnacentral:rRNA from 1 species